AACGCUGGCGGCGUGCCUAAUACAUGCAAGUCGAACGGUCUUUCUAUGGAAGCUUGCUUCCGACUGAGAAGAUAGUGGCGAACGGGUGAGUAACACGUGGGUAACCUGCCCAUAAGAGGGGGGAUAACAUCCGGAAACGGGUGCUAAUACCGCAUAGUUUUCUUGAUCGCAUGAUCGGGAAAGGAAAGACGGCCUUUGUGCUGUCGCUUAUGGAUGGACCCGCGGCGUAUUAGUUAGUUGGUGAGGUAACGGCUCACCAAGACGAUGAUACGUAGCCGACCUGAGAGGGUGAUCGGCCACAUUGGGACUGAGACACGGCCCAAACUCCUACGGGAGGCAGCAGUAGGGAAUCUUCCGCAAUGGACGAAAGUCUGACGGAGCAACGCCGCGUGAGUGGAAAGAAGGUUUUCGGAUCGUAAAACUCUGUUGUCAGAGAAGAACAAGUUGGAGAGUAACUGCUCCAGCCUUGACGGUAUCUGACCAGAAAGCCACGGCUAACUACGUGCCAGCCGCCGC
rnacentral:rRNA from 1 species